GGACCCGCACAAGUAGUGGAGCAUGUGGUUUAAUUCGAAGAUACGCGCAGAACCUUACCAACACUUGACAUGUUCGUCGCGACUCUAAGAGAUUAGAGUUUUCGGUUCGGCCGGACGAAACACAGGUGCUGCAUGGCUGUCGUCAGCUCGUGUCGUGAGAUGUUGGGUUAAGUCCCGCAACGAGCGCAACCCUCACUUUUAGUUGCCAUCAUUAAGUUGGGCACUCUGAAAGAACUGCCAGUGAUAAGCUGGAGGAAGGUGGGGAUGACGUCAAGUCCUCAUGGCCCUUACGUGUUGGGCUACACACGUGCUACAAUGGUAUCUACAACAGGAAGCAAAACGGCAACGUUAAGCAAAUCCCGAAAAGAUACCUCAGUUCGGAUUGCACUCUGCAACUCGAGUGCAUGAAGCUGGAAUUACUAGUAAUCG
rnacentral:rRNA from 1 species